rnacentral:rRNA from 1 species
UACGUAGGUGGCGAGCGUUGUCCGGAUUUACUGGGCGUAAAGAGCGCGCAGGCGGUCGUUCAAGUCGCGUGUGAAAGCCCCCGGCUCAACUGGGGAGGGUCACGCGAUACUGAUCGACUCGAAGGCAGGAGAGGGAAGUGGAAUUCCCGGUGUAGUGGUGAAAUGCGUAGAUAUCGGGAGGAACACCAGUGGCGAAGGCGGGUCUCUGGACAGUUCCUGACACUGAGACACGAAGGCCAGGGGAGCAAACGGG